AUACGGAGGGGACUAGCGUUGUUCGGAAUCACUGGGCGUAAAGGACGCGUAGGCGGGUUUGUAAGUCAGGUGUGAAAUCCUACAGCUCAACUGUAGAACUGCACUUGAAACUACAGACCUAGAGUAUGGAAGGGGCAGAUGGAAUUAGUGGUGUAGGGGUAAAAUCCGUAGAUAUCACUAGGAAUACCGAAAGCGAAGGCGAUCUGCUGGGACAUUACUGACGCUGAGGCGUGAAAGCGUGGGUAGCAAACGGGAUUAGAAACCCCGGUAGUCC
rnacentral:rRNA from 1 species